CAACUCGCCUACAUGAAGCCGGAAUCGCUAGUAAUCGCGGAUCAGAACGCCGCGGUGAAUACGUUCCCGGGUCUUGUACACACCGCCCGUCACACCACGAGAGUUUGUAACACCCGAAGCCGGUGAGGUAACCUUUUAGGAGCCAGCCGUCUAAGGUGGGAUAGAUAAUUGGGGUGAAGUCGUAACAAGGUAGCCGUAUCGGAAGGUGCGGCUGGAUCACCUCCUAA
rnacentral:rRNA from 1 species